rnacentral:tRNA from 1 species
AGGUUCCACCGAGAUGUGAACUCGGAUCGCUGGAUUCAGGGACCAGAGUACUAACCAUUACACCAUGGAAUC